rnacentral:rRNA from 1 species
AGAGUUUGAUCCUGGCUCAGAACGUACGCUGGCGGCACGCCUAACACAUGCAAGUCGAACGAAGUAGCAAUACUUAGUGGCAGACGGGUGAGUAACAUGUAGGUAUCUGCCCUUUGGCCUGGAAUAACACGAGGAAACUUGUGCUAAUACCGGAUAAGUCUUUACGGAGAAAGCUUUAUGCACCAUUGGAUGAGCCUGCACUUGAUUAGUUUGUUGGUGGGGUAAUGGCCUACCAAGACUGUGAUCAAUAGCUGAUUUGAGAGGAUGAUCAGCCACAUUGGGACUGAGACACGGCCCAAACUCCUACGGGAGGCAGCAGUGGGGAAUCUUGCACAAUGGAGGAAACUCUGAUGCAGCGAUGCCGCGUGAGUGAAGAAGGCCUUUGGGUUGUAAAGCUGUUUCGUCGGGGAAGAAAAUGACUGUACCCGAAUAAGAAGGUCCGGCUAACUUCGUGCCAGCAGCCGCGGUAAUACGAAGGGACCUAGCGUAGUUCGGAAUUACUGGGCUUAAAGAGUUCGUAGGUGGUUGAAAAAGUUGGUGGUGAAAUCCCAGAGCUUAACUCUGGAACUGCCAUCAAAACUUUUUAGCUAGAGUAUGAUAGAGGAAAGCAGAAUUUCUAGUGUAGAGGUGAAAUUCGUAGAUAUUAGAAAGAAUACCAAUUGCGAAGGCAGCUUUCUGGAUCAUUACUGACACUGAGGAACGAAAGCAUGGGUAGCGAAGAGGAUUAGAUACCCUCGUAGUCCAUGCCGUAAACGAUGUGUGUUAGACGUUGGAAAUUUAUUUUCAGUGUCGCAGCGAAAGCGAUAAACACACCGCCUGGGGAGUACGACCGCAAGGUUAAAACUCAAAUGAAUUGACGGGGACCCGCACAAGUAGUGGAGCAUGUGGUUUAAUUCGAAGAUACGCGCAGAACCUUACCAACACUUGACAUGUUCGUCGCGACUCUAAGAGAUUAGAGUUUUCGGUUCGGCCGGACGAAACACAGGUGCUGCAUGGCUGUCGUCAGCUCGUGUCGUGAGAUGUUGGGUUAAGUCCCGCAACGAGCGCAACCCUCACUUUUAGUUGCCAUCAUUAAGUUGGGCACUCUGAAAGAACUGCCAGUGAUAAGCUGGAGGAAGGUGGGGAUGACGUCAAGUCCUCAUGGCCCUUACGUGUUGGGCUACACACGUGCUACAAUGGUAUCUACAACAGGAAGCAAGACUGCGUGGUCAAGCAAAUCCCUAAAAGAUACCUCAGUUCGGAUUGCACUCUGCAACUCGAGUGCAUGAAGCUGGAAUUACUAGUAAUCGUGGAUCAGCGUGCCACGGUGAAUGCGUUCCCGGGUCUUGUACACACCGCCCGUCACACCAUGGGAGUUGGUUCUACCUUAAGGCAAGGUUUAAUACCCUUGACCACGGUAUAGUCAGCGACUGGGGUGAAGUCGUAACAAGGUAACC